AUUGAACGCUGGCGGAAUGCUUUACACAUGCAAGUCGAACGGCAGCACGGACUUCGGUCUGGUGGCGAGUGGCGAACGGGUGAGUAAUGUAUCGGAACGUGCCCAGUCGUGGGGGAUAACGUAGUGAAAAUUACGCUAAUACCGCAUACGAUCUAUGGAUGAAAGCGGGGGAUCGCAAGACCUCGCGCGAUUGGAGAGGCCGAUAUCAGAUUAGGUAGUUGGUGGGGUAAAGGCCCACCAAGCCAACGAUCUGUAGCUGGUCUGAGAGGACGACAAGCCACACUGGCACUGGAACACGGUCCAGACUCAUACGGGAGGCAGCAGUGGGGAAUUUUGGAAAAGGGGCGAAAGCCUGAUCCAGCCAUUCCGCGUGCAGGAUUAAGGCCCUCGUGUUGUAAACUGCUUUUGUACAGAACGAAAAGGUUUCUACUAAUACUAGGAGCUCAUGACGGUACUGUAAGAAUAAGCACCGGCUAACUACGUGCCAGCAGCCGCAGUAA
rnacentral:rRNA from 1 species